rnacentral:rRNA from 1 species
GAUGAACGCUAGCGGCAGGCCUAAUACAUGCAAGUCGAGGGGCAGCGGGGUAGCAAUACUGCCGGCGACCGGCGCACGGGUGCGUAACACGUAUGCAACCUACCUUAAACUGGGGGAUAGCCCGGGGAAACUCGGAUUAAUACCCCAUAACACAGUGUUAUCACAUGAUGAUAUUGUUAAAGAUUUAUCGGUUUAAGAUG